UACGAAGGGGGCUAGCGUUGUUCGGAAUUACUGGGCGUAAAGCGCGCGCAGGUGGUCUUUCAAGUCAGUGGUGAAAGCCCGGAGCUCAACUCCGGAAAUGCCAUUGAAACUGUAAGACUUGAGGAUGAGAGAGGUGAGUGGAAUUCCCAGUGUAGAGGUGAAAUUCGUAGAUAUUGGGAAGAACACCGGUGGCGAAGGCGGCUCACUGGCUCAUAUCUGACGCUCAUGCACGAAAGCGUGGGGAGCAAACAGG
rnacentral:rRNA from 1 species